UUCUAUUUUUCUAUACAAAAUUAGUUCAUUAAAUUCGACUUUCCGUUCAUUUCAUUUUUAAUAAUAUACUUAGUAGUCUCCCGAAGGCUUAAAACAGAGGGCAAUUUAGUAUGAAAAUUAAUGACAGCGGAAAAUGCUUCCGACUAGGACAUUACUUUUGCGUUUAUAGAAAUGUAAUUUGUAUACAUAUCAGGCUGUGUAUUCUGUAUAUUAAGGUACGGCGAUACUUAUAAACAGCCAGCAAGCGGACAAGCUUUUGGCGAAAAGAGGUCGCCAUGUGUCAUUAGGAAUUGUUACCAGGCUGGUUACAGUAUUUUAAGAUUACGAAAGAAAUGGAAUAUCUCAGGUGGAUUUUAUUUUUCGUCGCCCUGGGGUCAAUCGUUGCUCAUGAUGAGGAAGAAUGCCGGGAACUGAUGAGUAGAAAGCCUUGGAACUACGUGCCAUAUUACAUGCUUCUGAGGGAAGUGAUCUGUCGCACGUGUUGUGGACUUCAACCAGGGCGAACGCGCGUACGAUGUAUUCUCAGGAGAUGUAUCAAUGCAAGAUUCAAGUGUUCAUAGACACAAAAAGAAACCUGUCACAAAGUAGUCAAUAAACUGGAGGAUGGCUUUA